rnacentral:lncRNA from 1 species
AUGAAAUAUUGGGCUGCUGCUACUUGUUUUGGGCUAUUGCUGCUUAUGGACUGCUGGGCUUCUAUUGUAUAAACAGGAACAGAUGGCCAUCUGAAUAAAAAGAAAAAAGUCAUCGUUCAGCAGAAGUUAGUGAGCAGAUAUUUUUUACAAUCUCUUGUUUCUCUCUCUAAAUACCUAGGGUUUCGUUUGGUUUAAACACUAUUUCAUCUUGAAUCAGUGCUUUAGAUCGAGAUUCGGUGUUCUUGUGAGUGAUUAUCUUGUUGAUAAUCCUGUUAGUUGAGAGUUGAGAGUUUUUUUGUAAGAUUGUGUGAUCUGUUUGUUCAUAGUGUUUGUAAUCGGAACGGUUUUGACUGAGAAUUAAAUGACGAAUUAAAGUGCAUUGAAUACGUUUAAUGCAGUUUAAUUCUCCCAUUUUAUUCGUUUUUCAGUUUCUUCUCAACAUCUGAAGUAUAUAUAGGAGGAUCCUGCUGCAGAACAAGACACACUGAAAACACACAAAAUACAAUCUUCUCUCUGAAUUCUUCUUCAUCUUUAAGCAGCAAGGUAUACCUUCGGGUUGGAGUUAAGACCGGCAGUGCAACUGCUUAGGCUGUUGUAUCCUAGAAAACAAACGAGUUCUCCUGGGAGACUCGAAAUUUGUUUUAAGGGACCCGUGUCUAACACGACCCUCAACCAAGAACAUCUUUUCUGUUUAUAAUUUCAGUUCUUGUUUUUCAUUUAUUUCGGUUGUAACCUGUAUUUCUUUUUGUUUCUUUCCCAUUUCAAGUUGUAAUUCAAGUCAAUAAAAUUAUUUAUUUUGUAU